rnacentral:rRNA from 1 species
AGCUCCAAUAGCGUAUAUUAAAGUUGUUUCAGUUAAAAAGCUCGUAGUUGGAUUUCUGGUAGGAGUAGUACCUAUAGGUAUUUGACCUAUAAACUGCUAUCUUCCACCAUCCUUGAAGAUAUUUGGUCUGGCAUUAAGUUAUUGGAUUAAAGAUAUUCAUCUUUUAAUGUGAAAAAAUCAGAACGUUAAAAGUAAUUAUUUAGCUUUGAAUGUAUUAGCAUGGAAUAAUAAAAUAGGAGUUAGGUACUAAUUUGUUGGUUUAUAAAACUAGAUAAUUCUUAAUAGGGAUAGUUGGGGGUAUUCAUAUUCUAUUGUUAGAGGUGAAAUUAUUAGAUUUCUGGAAGUCAAACAACUGCGAAAGCAUUUACCAAGGAUGUUUUCA